UACGUAGGGUGCGAGCGUUGUCCGGAAUUAUUGGGCGUAAAGAGCUUGUAGGCGGUCUGUCGCGUCUGCUGUGAAAAUCCGGGGCUCAACCCCGGACUUGCAGUGGGUACGGGCAGACUAGAGUGUGGUAGGGGAGACUGGAAUUCCUGGUGUAGCGGUGAAAUGCGCAGAUAUCAGGAGGAACACCGAUGGCGAAGGCGGCAUCCUGGACCAAUACUGACGCUGAGGCGCGAAAGCUAGGGGAGCAAACGGG
rnacentral:rRNA from 1 species